rnacentral:tRNA from 1 species
GGCCGCGGUGGCGCAUCAGGUGCGACGCCCGGGCUACGGCAUCCGCGGCCCCGGCGGUGUCGUCGGUUCCGGCCGGGUCGCCGCCGGCCGGUGCCGC